rnacentral:lncRNA from 1 species
GUGAAAUCACUAAAACCAUGAUCAAGGUUGUGUUUCUGCUUGGAUGCCUGCUGAGCCUUGCUCUGGCAAAUCCUAAUGACUCAGCACAUGAGCGUGAUGCACGUUCUUCAUCUAGGGAAGGGGUGAGUCUCAUGUUUGUCUUUCUACGUUUGAACAUUAGGCACACUGGACUCUCCGAUAUGAUCAUAUCCACAGAAAGCCAUUCAACAGAGAAUGCAUUAUCCCAUGUAAUAAUAUUUAUUACUGAUUUUCUUGCAGACUACUGGGACUACCACAAAUUCUCUUGCCCUGCUAACAGCUCUUCUACAGAAUCCAACACUUCUGCAGAAUCCAACGCUCCUUGCAGCGCUUCUUGCCGCUCUACGAUAAGCUGCUCCUUCACCAACAGCUACUACUGUUACAAAGAAUGAAUUGAAAAUGAGCCAACAAUGAAUAAAAACCUAUGUUGAAUGGCAUUGUUGUUUUUCAUAAUUUAUUCACACAGAUUAUUGAAAAUCUCCACUUAUUUUUGAAUGACUUGGUCUUAUAGAGAGUUUAAAAAAGCUUGCAUGAUUCAUAGGCCAGUGUUGUGGCUCAACAGAAAAACAAAAAUCUUUUGAAAUUCUGAAUUAUUUUCAGAAAGCAGACCAUUUUCAAUGAAAAAUGUCUUACUCUCUACUCUUGCUCAGCUGAUUAAUGUGUCACAGUGCAAAAACACAUUGAAAAAGGGGUGGCUGGAGCUUAGGAGGUAGCACAGGUCAUCUACUGAUUAGGAAGGCUAGUGGUUUAAUCCCUGGCUUCCCCAGUCUGCAUGCAAAAUACUUGGCCCAAGUUAGUAACCCCAAGUUACUCUGAUGCAUCCACUGGAGUAUGAAUGUGUGUGAAUGUUAACUAGGGACGUUAAUAUGGUUGAAUGUGGCAUGUUGUAUAAAGCAGGGAAAGUAAAAAUGCACUAUAUAAGAAUCAGUCCACUUACCAAAGCAAUACAGCAGCUAUUAAAGACAAAACUGAAGAUAAAGAGAACCAAAGAGAAGCAGCAACCGAAGACUCUGUAGUAAAUGCCAAGAAGAACAUCUGAAGGGAGGAAACACAGUAUUUGUGAUGUUCAUGGUGUAUAGACUUAAGUAUUUCAGUCAAAGCAUAAAAAAAUGAUGUUUGUAUAUAAAAUGAUGUCAGGCCAUCCAAUUACUACUGAGCUGCUGAAAAUUGGGCACCAAAGAUAAAAAUGUUUGUAAUACUUAAACAGUUGAUGCCAUAUUUUUGUAAAGACCCACCCACAUUAAAGGUGAACAUCUGCAAUUCUGCAAUAUUAUCUCAGUUGUUUGAUUUAAAAUUGGCAAAAUCUGUGUAAAAAAAACUUGUGCCUAACCAUACAAUACAAUGGUGUUUGUGAAAAACAAACAGAAAAAACCCCCAACACAUUUUGAGUCUAACUGAUUUUCACUGAUUAACUUUAUUUGGCAGCUACUAAACACAACAGUGAUCAGAAAGUCAAAAGUCAAGAUUCAGUUUAGAAAAGAGAAAAACUAAUGCAAAACAAGCAACAUUGUGCUGGCGUCAUAAAUGCAAUGCUGGCUUAAAACCACUCAUUGGUUUUUUAGUUUCCUUUAUGAUUUCAGGGAGUUAUAGUGGGUGCAGCUGUUGUAAUAGUUGUAGCAAGUGCUUGUAGGAAGGCAGAGAGAAGCUGCUAAAGGGGGAUGUUGUUGUUGUUGGUCAUCUGUAGAGAGAAAAAUAUCCAUUUUACAGAACAUUUUACAGAAAGUGAUGUUCAAUAACAUGAAUAGAUAAGUUGAGAAAAAGAUAAGAUACAAUAAGAUGUACUAAAAUGACACAUUCAUCCAAGCAAAUAAAAAUUAUCCUUCAAAAUCCAUGCACAAAAAAUACUGAGAGUAAAAAUGUUAUUUGUACAGCUGCAGCAGACUGUCUCUGUCAUGGCUGCGGAGGCAGACGUAUGGGAUUUUAGAAGAAUGGGGACCCAAAUGCCGACAUGGAUGCGGGAGAAUGUUUUGAACAGAAGGCGAGCUUUUAUUUAUGGAUGAUAAAUACUGCAAACAGGUGGAACAGAGAAAACUAACAAAACCUAAACUAGGGAAAACUAACCAUAAACAUAUAACCUGAAGGUGGACCAGAACCAAGGGAUGAGGAACCAGGAAACACAGAAAAGCUGACGGAGAGAACGCUGAGGCAAUACAGGGAAGACAUGCAGAGGUAACACAGGAGGGAGACAGGGAGGAAGGAAAACUGAAUACAAUGACAUAAGACACAGACCUUCAAAGUAAAACAGGAAACAUGGCGACUGAACACAAGCUACGUAAACUUAACAAAGAGACCGGGGAGACAAAGAACAUAGGAACGUGAAACGUGGGAUGGGAGGGCAAUGAGCAGACAACACAGAACACAGGGAAGCCAAAUAACAAAACCUAAGAACUAGAACUCAGGAAAUGCUAGGGAGCUAGAAAUACUAGGACAGAAACCAAAACACUAACAGUGAAAACCAUGAAUAACAAAUAAUCAAGAAACACAAAUUAAACAGAUACAAAACACUGGGUCACCGACCCAGGACUGUGACAGUCUCAGAGAGAAGGAGGUUGUUGUAGUGACAUUCUGAAUGUUCAGUGCAGGAAGCAUCCAAGCAGAAAUACCUUCAGCAUGGUUUCAGUUAUUAUACCUGUUGAAAAAACAAAAAUAUUAAAGAAAAUAAGAUAGCAAAAUGACAAAUACAUCAAACUGAAAAAAACAACAAAAAAAAC